CAGGUACCGUCAAAUACAGGACCUAUUAGAACCUGUACUGUUCUUCCCUGCAAACAGGGGUUUACGACCCGAAGGCCUUGUCCCCCACGCGGCGUUGCUGCGUCAGGCUUUCGCCCAUUGCGCAAUAUUCCUC
rnacentral:rRNA from 1 species